UACGGAGGGUGCGAGCGUUGUCCGGAAUCAUUGGGCGUAAAGGGCGCGUAGGUGGCCCGCUCAGCGUGCGGUGAAAGCUCGGGGCUCAACCCCGAGUCGGCCGUGCGAACUGGUGGGCUGGAGCACUGUAGAGGCAGGCGGAAUUCCGGGUGUAGCGGUGGAAUGCGUAGAGAUCCGGAAGAACACCGGUGGCGAAGGCGGCCUGCUGGGCAGUUGCUGGACACUGAGGCGCGACAGCGUGGGGGAGCAAACAGGG
rnacentral:rRNA from 1 species